ACCUCAGAUGCAGUCAUUUUAUUUCACUGCAAAAAGGAAUAAACGAAAAGGGUAAGUGUGACUGGUGAAUAUGAUUAGGUGGGCAAGAUUUUGCGAGAUAAGAUUAGCUGAUCAUGGAGUUGAAUUGAGUCCCCACCAUUUAAUCUUGCCACGAGCUUCUCGAUUUGACUGAGUUCAAGAAUCUCCACUUCCAAGCAGGUGUUUCCAAAUUGAUCAGAGGCUCAACAACAGACAAACUAUCACCUUCGAGAUAGACAGACACUCUGCUUGCUAGUUGCUAAAAAGUAUUCAUCAGAUUUUGCUGAAACUCGAGCAGUUCCAGGAUUGUCGAGCUUGAAUCUCUGGCCUAAAUGUAGAUCAGAUCGAGCAUCGAAUGUCAUUGCCGAGCGGAAGUACUCCUAGAAGAGCUUAUGCAUGUCGGGACAAGCUUUGCCAUAUGGGUUCUUCUCUUAGAAGGUUUGAUUCCUAGUCAUCCACAGCAUGACGUGUAGCAGAAUCACCCUGGACGAAGUUCUUGUGCUCAUGCUAGACUCUGCAAUAAGCAUCAGCCCUCGUUCAUGCAACGAAAAAAGAAGAGAAAAGAUUGCAGAUAGACGCCACGAGCUGCACUGUAAGUGGUCAAAGGCCCAAGUUCUUGGACCCAACAGCUAAAUAAGCUUUCUUUAAAGGAAAUGGUCGGGCUAUGUUGGCCCGGCACAAACUUUCAUUUUCCUCUCCGCCUUUUCUUUUGUUUUCCAUCUUUCAGCAACUGCCGCGAACGCUUGAGCAAGCUUCGUUAUGGGGGUGAAGUUUCGGGAUUGGUACGUGAAGAUCGCGUUCUUCUCAGCUCUCGUCGGAGGUUCCAAGGAGUUGUUCAUGAUCAAGACCGGCUUCUGUAUGAUAAAGCUGACUGUAUUGGAGUCGGAGAAGCGGGCUUGGGAGAAUUCGCCGGAAGCUCAGGCUGUAAGAGAAGCUCACAAUCCUUGGAGAAAUCAUGAUACAGAAGCAAAAAAGAAUUCAUAGUGCCGCCAUUGUCAGUUAUUGCUGGCGUAACGGGAAGAGAGGUACAUCUGUUCCAACGCAACACGGACAUGGAAAUUGGACACUGAAGGACUUACAGGAGGCGCGCCUUAGGGUCCGAGCUCAGGAGGCAGCUUUUCUUUGCCUCAGGUGUGAGAACCUUCUUCUUGAAACUCGAAGCUUGCAGGAAUUCCUCCUGAAGAAAGAUCUACCUUUGCUGGAACCAUGCGACUGGAGAAAACCCUUUACUGCUAGAGCUGCUACCAAAAUGCUUACGAGGAAUCUGAAGGGAAAAGAUUAAUGCGCCUUCCACCAGGUCCAGGACCUAAAGCCUCCUCUGAGCUACUCGUGGUUUUAUCAAUGAUCGUCAAGCUGUAUGUCACAGAAAUGCCAUGAUUUUGCUUAAGCCUUUCAUUUUAACAGUGAAUUUGUGUCCAUGCUCUCUAUAGAUGUACGCUAGAGGCCAAACCAUGUAAAUGUAGGCAUUGAGUUUCCCUCAUUUCUUUAGAUAUACACCAGAAGCACACCGCGAGCGCCAAGUCACGUUCGUCUCGAAUCUAAUCGCACUCGGG